rnacentral:rRNA from 1 species
GGUUAAGCGACUAAGCGUACACGGUGGAUGCCCUGGCAGUCAGAGGCGAUGAAGGACGUGCUAAUCUGCGAUAAGCGUCGGUAAGGUGAUAUGAACCGUUAUAACCGGCGAUUUCCGAAUGGGGAAACCCAGUGUGAUUCGUCACACUAUCAUUAACUGAAUCCAUAGGUUAAUGAGGCGAACCGGGGGAACUGAAACAUCUAAGUACCCCGAGGAAAAGAAAUCAACCGAGAUUCCCCCAGUAGCGGCGAGCGAACGGGGAGCAGCCCAGAGCCUGAAUCAGUGUGUGUGUUAGUGGAAGCGUCUGGAAAGGCGCGCGAUACAGGGUGACAGCCCCGUACACAAAAAUGCACAUGCUGUGAGCUCGAUGAGUAGGGCGGGACACGUGGUAUCCUGUCUGAAUAUGGGGGGACCAUCCUCCAAGGCUAAAUACUCCUGACUGACCGAUAGUGAACCAGUACCGUGAGGGAAAGGCGAAAAGAACCCCGGCGAGGGGAGUGAAAAAGAACCUGAAACCGUGUACGUACAAGCAGUGGGAGCACGCUUAGGCGUGUGACUGCGUACCUUUUGUAUAAUGGGUCAGCGACUUAUAUUCUGUAGCAAGGUUAACCGAAUAGGGGAGCCGAAGGGAAACCGAGUCUUAACUGGGCGUUAAGUUGCAGGGUAUAGACCCGAAACCCGGUGAUCUAGCCAUGGGCAGGUUGAAGGUUGGGUAACACUAACUGGAGGACCGAACCGACUAAUGUUGAAAAAUUAGCGGAUGACUUGUGGCUGGGGGUGAAAGGCCAAUCAAACCGGGAGAUAGCUGGUUCUCCCCGAAAGCUAUUUAGGUAGCGCCUCGUGAAUUCAUCUCCGGGGGUAGAGCACUGUUUCGGCAAGGGGGUCAUCCCGACUUACCAACCCGAUGCAAACUGCGAAUACCGGAGAAUGUUAUCACGGGAGACACACGGCGGGUGCUAACGUCCGUCGUGAAGAGGGAAACAACCCAGACCGCCAGCUAAGGUCCCAAAGUCAUGGUUAAGUGGGAAACGAUGUGGGAAGGCCCAGACAGCCAGGAUGUUGGCUUAGAAGCAGCCAUCAUUUAAAGAAAGCGUAAUAGCUCACUGGUCGAGUCGGCCUGCGCGGAAGAUGUAACGGGGCUAAACCAUGCACCGAAGCUGCGGCAGCGACGCUUAUGCGUUGUUGGGUAGGGGAGCGUUCUGUAAGCCUGCGAAGGUGUGCUGUGAGGCAUGCUGGAGGUAUCAGAAGUGCGAAUGCUGACAUAAGUAACGAUAAAGCGGGUGAAAAGCCCGCUCGCCGGAAGACCAAGGGUUCCUGUCCAACGUUAAUCGGGGCAGGGUGAGUCGACCCCUAAGGCGAGGCCGAAAGGCGUAGUCGAUGGGAAACAGGUUAAUAUUCCUGUACUUGGUGUUACUGCGAAGGGGGGACGGAGAAGGCUAUGUUGGCCGGGCGACGGUUGUCCCGGUUUAAGCGUGUAGGCUGGUUUUCCAGGCAAAUCCGGAAAAUCAAGGCUGAGGCGUGAUGACGAGGCACUACGGUGCUGAAGCAACAAAUGCCCUGCUUCCAGGAAAAGCCUCUAAGCAUCAGGUAACAUCAAAUCGUACCCCAAACCGACACAGGUGGUCAGGUAGAGAAUACCAAGGCGCUUGAGAGAACUCGGGUGAAGGAACUAGGCAAAAUGGUGCCGUAACUUCGGGAGAAGGCACGCUGAUAUGUAGGUGAAGUCCCUCGCGGAUGGAGCUGAAAUCAGUCGAAGAUACCAGCUGGCUGCAACUGUUUAUUAAAAACACAGCACUGUGCAAACACGAAAGUGGACGUAUACGGUGUGACGCCUGCCCGGUGCCGGAAGGUUAAUUGAUGGGGUUAGCGCAAGCGAAGCUCUUGAUCGAAGCCCCGGUAAACGGCGGCCGUAACUAUAACGGUCCUAAGGUAGCGAAAUUCCUUGUCGGGUAAGUUCCGACCUGCACGAAUGGCGUAAUGAUGGCCAGGCUGUCUCCACCCGAGACUCAGUGAAAUUGAACUCGCUGUGAAGAUGCAGUGUACCCGCGGCAAGACGGAAAGACCCCGUGAACCUUUACUAUAGCUUGACACUGAACAUUGAGCCUUGAUGUGUAGGAUAGGUGGGAGGCUUUGAAGUGUGGACGCCAGUCUGCAUGGAGCCGACCUUGAAAUACCACCCUUUAAUGUUUGAUGUUCUAACGUGGACCCGUAAUCCGGGUUGCGGACAGUGUCUGGUGGGUAGUUUGACUGGGGCGGUCUCCUCCUAAAGAGUAACGGAGGAGCACGAAGGUUGGCUAAUCCUGGUCGGACAUCAGGAGGUUAGUGCAAUGGCAUAAGCCAGCUUGACUGCGAGCGUGACGGCGCGAGCAGGUGCGAAAGCAGGUCAUAGUGAUCCGGUGGUUCUGAAUGGAAGGGCCAUCGCUCAACGGAUAAAAGGUACUCCGGGGAUAACAGGCUGAUACCGCCCAAGAGUUCAUAUCGACGGCGGUGUUUGGCACCUCGAUGUCGGCUCAUCACAUCCUGGGGCUGAAGUAGGUCCCAAGGGUAUGGCUGUUCGCCAUUUAAAGUGGUACGCGAGCUGGGUUUAGAACGUCGUGAGACAGUUCGGUCCCUAUCUGCCGUGGGCGCUGGAGAACUGAGGGGGGCUGCUCCUAGUACGAGAGGACCGGAGUGGACGCAUCACUGGUGUUCGGGUUGUCAUGCCAAUGGCACUGCCCGGUAGCUAAAUGCGGAAGAGAUAAGUGCUGAAAGCAUCUAAGCACGAAACUUGCCCCGAGAUGAGUUCUCCCUGACUCCUUGAGAGUCCUGAAGGAACGUUGAAGACGACGACGUUGAUAGGCCGGGUGUGUAAGCGCAGCGAUGCGUUGAGCUAACCGGUACUAAUGAACCGUGAGGCUUAACCUU